GGUGGCUCAGUGGUAGAGUGCUUGCCUUGCAUGCAUGAGGCCUUGGGUCCAAUUCCUGAGUACCA
rnacentral:tRNA from 1 species